UACGUAGGGUGCAAGCGUUAAUCGGAAUUACUGGGCGUAAAGCGUGCGCAGGCGGUGCUGUAAGUCAGAUGUGAAAUCCCCGGGCUCAACCUGGGAACUGCAUUUGUGACUGCAUCGCUGGAGUGCGGCAGAGGGGGAUGGAAUUCCGCGUGUAGCAGUGAAAUGCGUAGAUAUGCGGAGGAACACCGAUGGCGAAGGCAAUCCCCUGGGCCUGCACUGACGCUCAUGCACGAAAGCGUGGGGAGCAAACAGG
rnacentral:rRNA from 1 species